UCCAGACUCCUACGGGAGGCAGCAGUGGGGAAUAUUGGGCAAUGGGCGCAAGCCUGACCCAGCAACGCCGCGUGAAGGAAGAAGGCUUUCGGGUUGUAAACUUCUUUUCUCAGGGACGAAGCAAGUGACGGUACCUGAGGAAUAAGCCACGGCUAACUACGUGCCAGCAGCCGCGGUAAUACGUAGGUGGCGAGCGUUAUCCGGAAUUACUGGGUGUAAAGGGUGUGUAGGCGGGAGUGCAAGUCAGACGUGAAAACUAUGGGCUCAACCCAUAACGUGCGUUUGAAACUGUGCUUCUUGAGAGUGGGAGAGGUAAACGGAAUUCCUGGUGUAGUAGUGAAAUGCGUAGAUAUCAGGAGGAACACCGGUGGCGAAGGCGGUUUACUGGACCACAACUGACGCUGAGACACGAAAGCGUGGGGAGCAAACAGGAUUAGAUACCCCCGUAAC
rnacentral:rRNA from 1 species